AGGAUGGAUAAGAACUUUUUUGCAUGAAGUUAUUUGUAGCCAACCAU
rnacentral:tRNA from 1 species